UAUCAUCUUUAGGUUUCACAUUCUGGAACAGCCAGAACUUUAAGACAAGAUCUUUUUUUGUUUUGAUAAACAAAAGUGCAUUCCAUUAUGUCCUUGGCCACCAUAGUAAUAUUUCUCUGUCAUUACUGUUCUCAGUAUAGCCUCAAAAUUCUUAUUAGUGAUAACUUUAUCAAAGUCACUGUCAGUCUAUUUGUGUUGCUAUGAAGGAAUACCUGAGGCUGGGCAAUUUAUUAAGAAAAGAGUUUUGUUUAUUUGGCUCAUAGUUCUGCAGGCUGUACAGGAAGCAUGAUGCCAGCAUCUGCUUUGCUUCUGGUAAGGUCCUCGGGCUGCUUCCAUUCGUAGUAGAAAGUGAAGAGGGGCUGGAGUGUGCAGAGAUCACAUGAAGAGAGAGGAGGCAAGAAAGAGGGGAGAAGACACCACACUCUUUUCAGUAACCAGCUCUAGAGGAACCAAUAUUAUAGGGUUGGUGCCUCAGGAAAUAACUGCUUUGGGAGAGAAGGACCAGGGGAAGAAGAGAGUGGCCUGCCUGCCUUCUGCUGUUUUCUCAAAUGGCAAGGUGCCAUACACAGGAGUAGCAUGUCCUGAAUUCCAUCAUUAACUAUGGAGUCUCACCCUGUUGCCCAGGAUGGAGUGCAAUGGCACAAUCUCAGCUCACUGCAACCUCCACCUCCUAGGUUGAAGCGAUUCUCCUGCCUGAGCCUCCAAAGUAGCUGGGAUUACAGGUGUGUCCCACCACAUUCGGCUAAUUUUUUGUAUUGUUAGUAGAGAAGGAGUUGUACCAUGUUGGCCAGGCUCGUCUCAAACUCCUGACCUGCCCACGUUGGCCUCCAAAAGUGCUGGUAUUACAGGCAUGGGCCACCAUGCCCAGCCAAGAAUUUCUUAUUUAUAAAUAUACUUUCCACUGAAAAAUCAAUGUGCACUAAUUUUUUUUUCAGAUACUAUGGUUCACCAUAACUUUUAGCGUUUUCUGUGCCAUUUCUUAGACCUAAGCUUCCUAUUAUUGUCUACUAAAUAAAUUGUGCCUUCUGUUUACUCUUCUUCA
rnacentral:lncRNA from 13 species